rnacentral:rRNA from 1 species
CGGCCUGCCUUACCAUGCAGUCGAACGGCAGCACGGGAGCAAUCCUGGUGGCGAGUGGCGAACGGGUGAGUAAUACAUCGGAACGUGUCCUGUAGUGGGGGAUAGCCCGGCGAAAGCCGGAUUAAUACCGCAUACGCUCUACGGAGGAAAGGGGGGGAUCUUAGGACCUCUCGUUAUAGGGGCGGCCGAUGGCAGAUUAGCUAGUUGGUGGGGUAAAGGCCUACCAAGGCGACGAUCUGUAGCUGGUCUGAGAGGACGACCAGCCACACUGGGACUGAGACACGGCCCAGACUCCUACGGGAGGCAGCAGUGGGGAAUUUUGGACAAUGGGCGCAAGCCUGAUCCAGCAAUGCCCGCGUGUGUGAAGAAGGCCUUCGGGUUGUAAAGCACUUUUGUCCGGAAAGAAAACCUCUGCCCUAAUAUGGUGGGGGGAUGACGGUACCGGAAGAAUAAGCACCGGCUAACUACGUGCCAGCAGCCGCGGUAAUACGUAGGGUGCAAGCGUUAAUCGGAAUUACUGGGCGUAAAGCGUGCGCAGGCGGUUCGCUAAGACAGAUGUGAAAUCCCCGGGCUUAACCUGGGAACUGCAUUUGUGACUGGCCGGGCUAGAGUAUGGCAGAGGGGGGUAGAAUUCCACGUGUAGCAGUGAAAUGCGUAGAGAUGUGGAGGAAUACCGAUGGCGAAGGCAGCCCCCUGGGCCAAUACUGACGCUCAUGCACGAAAGCGUGGGGAGCAAACAGGAUUAGAUACCCUGGUAGUCCACGCCCUUAAACGAUGUCAACUGGUUGUCGGGCCUUCAUUGGCUUGGUAACGUAGCUAACGCGUGAAGUUGACCGCCUGGGGAGUACGGUCGCAAGAUUAAAACUCAAAGGAAUUGACGGGGACCCGCACAAGCGGUGGAUGAUGUGGAUUAAUUCGAUGCAACGCGAAAAACCUUACCUACCCUUGACAUGGUCAGGACCCUGCUGAGAGGCGGGAGGUGCCCGAAAGGGAACUGAUACACAGGUGCUGCAUGGCGUGUACGUCAGCUCGUGUCGUGAGAUGUUGGGUUAAGUCCCGCAACGAGCGCAACCCUUGUCCCUAGUUGCUACGCAAGAGCACUCUAGGGAGACUGCCGGUGACAAACCGGAGGAAGGUGGGAGACGUCAAGUCCUCAUGGCCCUUAUGGGUAGGGCUUCACACGUCAUACAAUGGUCGGAACAGAGGGUCGCCAACCCGCGAGGGGGAGCCAAUCCCAGAAAACCGAUCGUAGUCCGGAUCGCACUCUGCAACUCGAGUGCGUGAAGCUGGAAUCGCUAGUAAUCGCGGAUCAGCAUGCCGCGGUGAAUACGUUCCGGGUUCUUUUACACACCGCCCGUCACACCAUGGGAGUGGGUUGUACCGGGCUGCUAUCUAACCGCAAGGGGGACGGUCACCACGCUAGGAUUCAUGACGUGGGGUGAAGUCGUAACAA